UGGCUCAGUGGGUAGAGCAUGUGACUCUUGAUCACAGGGUCAUGAGUUCAAGCCCCAA
rnacentral:tRNA from 1 species